UACGUAGGUGGCAAGCGUUGCCCGGAUUCACUGGGCGUAAAGCGGGUGUAGGCGGUUCUUUAAGUCAGAUGUGAAAUCCUGCGGCUCAACCGCGGAACUGCAUCUGAUACUGGGGAACUUGAGGACGGUAGAGGUCGGUGGAAUCCCCGGUGUACCGGUGAAAUGGGCAGAUAUCGGGGGGAACACCAGUGGCGAAGGCGGCCGACUGGGCCGAUCCUGACGCUGAGACCCGAAAGCCAGGGUAGCGAACCGG
rnacentral:rRNA from 1 species